UCCUUUUCAUACGCCUUCACUAUUCUCUCUCUUAUCUUGAAUGCCCACUCUUCUAUUCCAUACCCUCUCUCUUGAAUCCCCGUUCUCUUCUUCUCACUUUGUUAUCCAUACCCACUCUGUGGCUUUCAACGAAGGUUUUCACGUCUCCCAAUUCCAACCUCUCUAGAUUGAUCCUCUACUUCAAGGGUUCUCGAUUUUGGUAGUGUUGAAGUUCGAGUAUUGCAUGUGUUGAUCGAAGGCCUUUUUUUCUCAACCCAUUGUUUCUGUGCUCAACCCUAAGGGAGAAGUUUGUGUAUUUUUCACUUUUCAUCCAUUGUUAAGCGGAGAGUUCCGAAUCGAGGCCCAUCGAGUCUAAUAUUCUAUUCAAUUUAAAAUUUUCCUAGAAAACCUUUUAUUUUCAGAUAAGUUUUGAGCAAGUCUGGAAGGCUACAAUAAGAUUGGUUCUUCCCCAAUACAUCUCUACUUAACUGGUAAAUAAGGUUAAUAGUUGGUUUUUUAUUUCUUUCCUAUAUUGUUAUUGGUUCAUUUUGUAUACCCAAUUUCUCUGUAUUUAGGGAGGGUUUUGUUUUCUUUUUUCUAAACUCUUAUAGACUUUAUGAAGGCUAUAGUUCCAUAUCCUUCCCUCUUGUAUAUCUAUUUUUUUGGUAUCUAGUUGCUUGAUAGUUCUUCUUCACCCCCUUCAAAUUAAAAAAAAAAAAAUGUGAUAAAAAAUGAGUAACACCAAGUGCCUCUGGAAUAAUCUGUUGAUCUCCAAUGAAUUGUUUCCUUUUAAUAAAAAAAGUUCCAUUUCCAAGUAAUGUUUUGUAUGAGACAAAAAUGAGUAAUCAAGUUUAAAUAAGUUUUGUGAGUAUGAAGUUAAAGAAAUUUCCAAAACUUUGGUGUUAUGGAAGGUGAACAAAAUUUGAUAAAGGUUUGAAGCUUUUGUGAAAUUAAAUUCCAAUGUUUCAAAAUUGGUACUCUUUGAUUCUCUCUGCAAAUGCAAAACAAAGCCUGAGAUAGAAAUACUAACAUAUCUGAUUAGCUUGAGAAGUAUGCUUUCAUAUUUGAAGACAGUGUUCUCAAGUGGAUAGAAAUUAGAAAAUUACCAUUUGUUCCUUAUUUUCAUUUAUGGAUAUUACAUGCACACAUAUUCUUUUUCAUUCUAAAGUUAGUUGCAUUGAACUUUUUGUCAAAGUUAUGUAUUUUGUUAUUAUGUUAAAAUGUGAUUUUAUUUUGAAUAAUCAUAGUCAUUCUAUUCCAGUUUAAAAUGUGAUUUUAUUAUUGUGGACAAUGGCUGAAGGUAUUCGGUGACUAGCUUAUUCAUAUCAUCAAUAAAUAUAUUGCCCAAUUUUCUAUGAUUUGAAAUUUAAUAAGCAAUCCGCUGUUUUUUUCUUUUGGAUGCAACUAGAAAAGCUUUUCAUCAAACAUUUCCUUUCAAUUGUAGGUUAUUCUGCCAAUUCAGGAGUCAGCUAUUUUAAUUUUUCUUUGUUGUUUGCCAUAGAUGGUUCUUUAUGUUUGGUUAUUUAAGUUAGUUUCUAUAGGUUGCCUUUUGGGAACUUGCUGCUAGUAGAAGCUUUUACCCCUUUUAUCAGUCUCCUUGUUUUUCUCUUUGGUGUUUUACAAGUGAAGUGCAACAAAACUUUACAUGCACAUACCUUACUCUUCUUUGAUAUCAUGAAUCAAUUUUGAUAUUUUUGCCUUUUGUAUUUGCUCAUAUAAAAAUUCCUCACAAUUAUGUUAAUGUGCUGAUGGUGGAGUAAUUUCUCUCCUUGAAGAAUAUCAUUGCAAAGUUUUUGCUGCUACUGUUUCUAAAUGUAAAUGUAAGUCUGAUUUCUCACAAUUGCUAUGUUUUGAAGGUUUAAAUCACAUAUUAAUUAUUUUCUAAACUCAAAAUACUUUCUAGUCAUUUGAACUUGUAUUUUAUUAAAAAAUGAAUAUGCUUUGUUUGCAUACAUGAUCUGAUCUGUAAUUUCAGUCAUUUACUUGCAGGUUCUUGAUUCCGUUAGAGCAUUGUUUCCUUAGACUAUUUUACUCUUUUCUGUUUUCUAAAUAAUGAAAAUGUUCUCAAAAUAUAUGUUGUAGUUACUGCUAGGAGUUGUUUGUGUUGGAAUUGAUGUCCUAAAUCUCAGAUCCUGUAGUUUGUAAACACUUGUAUGAACAAACUCUUUAUGAUGUUAUAAUAUGAGAUAUUUUAUUUA